GACGAACGCUGGCGGCGUGCUUAACACAUGCAAGUCGAACGGAAAGGCCCUGCUUUUGUGGGGUGCUCGAGUGGCGAACGGGUGAGUAACACGUGAGUAACCUGCCCUUGACUCUGGGAUAACUUCAGGAAACUGGGGCUAAUAUCGGAUAGGAGCUCCUGCUGCAUGGUGGGGGUUGGAAAGUUUCGGCGGUUGGGGAUGGACUCGCGGCUUAUCAGCUUGUUGGUGGGGUAGUGGCUUACCAAGGCUUUGACGGGUAGCCGGCCUGAGAGGGUGACCGGCCACAUUGGGACUGAGAUACGGCCCAGACUCCUACGGGAGGCAGCAGUGGGGAAUAUUGCACAAUGGGCGGAAGCCUGAUGCAGCAACGCCGCGUGCGGGAUGACGGCCUUCGGGUUGUAAACCGCUUUCGCCUGUGACGAAGCGUGAGUGACGGUAAUGGGUAAAGAAGCACCGGCUAACUACGUG
rnacentral:rRNA from 1 species